UGGGGAAUAUUGGGCAAUGGGGGCAACCCUGACCCAGCAACGCCGCGUGAAGGAAGAAGGCCUUCGGGUUGUAAACUUCUUUGACGAGGGACGAUAAUGACGGUACCUCGAAAACAAGCCACGGCUAACUACGUGCCAGCAGCCGCGGUAAUACGUAGGGGGCGAGCGUUGUCCGGAAUGACUGGGCGUAAAGGGCGCGUAGACGGCUUUUUAAGUCUGGAGUGAAAGUCCUGCUUUCAAGGUGGGAAUUGCUUUGGAGACUGGAAGGCUUGAGUGCGGAAGAGGUAAGUGGAAUUCCCAGUGUAGCGGUGAAAUGCGUAGAGAUUGGGAAGAACACCAGUGGCGAAGGCGACUUACUGGGCCGUAACUGACGUUGAUGCGCGAAAGCGUGGGGAGCGAACAGG
rnacentral:rRNA from 1 species